AUACGGAGGGUGCGAGCGUUAAUCGGAAUUACUGGGCGUAAAGCGUACGUAGGCGGUUGGUUAAGUUAGAUGUGAAAGCCCCGGGCUUAACCUGGGAACUGCAUUUAAAACUGGCGAACUAGAGUUGAGUAGAGGGGAGUGGAAUUUCAGGUGUAGCGGUGAAAUGCGUAGAGAUCUGAAGGAACACCAGUGGCGAAGGCGACUCCCUGGACUCGAACUGACGCUGAGGUACGAAAGCGUGGGGAGCAAACGGGAUUAGAUACCCUUGUAGUCG
rnacentral:rRNA from 1 species